rnacentral:rRNA from 1 species
UGAGGAAUAUUGGGCAAUGCCCGCAAGGGUGACCCAGCAACGCCGCGUGGAGGAUGAAUGUCGUAAGAUUGUAAACUCCUGUUAGAGGGGAAGAAUAGUACCGGUUGGACCGGUAUAUGACUGUACCCUCAGAGAAAGCCCCGGCUAACUACGUGCCAGCAGCCGCGGUAAUACGUAGGGGGCAAGCGUUGUCCGGAUUUACUGGGUGUAAAGGGCGCGCAGGCGGGAUAAAAAGUCAGUGGUGAAAUCCUACAGCUUAACUGUAGAACUGCCUUUGAUACUUUUAUUCUUGAGUUCGGGAGAGAGAGACGGAAUUCCAGGUGUAGUGGUGAAAUACGUAGAUAUCUGGAAGAACACCAGUUGCGAAGGCGGUCUCUUGGGCCGACACUGACGCUGAGGCGCGAAAGCGUGGGGAGCAAACA